AAACUAACAAGGAUUCCCCUAGUAGCGGCGAGCGAAGCGGGAAGAGCUCAAAUUUAUAAUCUGGCACCUUCGGUGUCCGAGUUGUAAUCUCUAGAAGUGUUUUCCGCGUUGGACCGCACACAAGUCUGUUGGAAUACAGCGGCAUAGUGGUGAGACCCCCGUAUAUGGUGCGGACGCCCAACGCUUUGUGAUACACUUUCGAAGAGUCGAGUUGUUUGGGAAUGCAGCUCAAAUUGGGUGGUAAAUUCCAUCUAAAGCUAAAUAUUGGCGAGAGACCGAUAGCGAACAAGUACCGUGAGGGAAAGAUGAAAAGCACUUUGGAAAGAGAGUUAACAGUACGUGAAAUUGUUGGAAGGGAAACGCUUGAAGUCAGACUUGCUUGCCGAGCAAUCGGUUUGCAGGCCAGCAUCAGUUUUCCGGGGUGGAUAAUGGUAGAGAGAAGGUAGCAGUUUCGGCUGUGUUAUAGCUCUUUGCUGGAUACACCUUGGGGGACUGAGGAACGCAGUGUGCCUUACGGCGGAUUUCUCGAGAUCUUCACACUUAGGAUGCUGGUGGAAUGGCUUUAAACGAC
rnacentral:rRNA from 1 species